CUCAGGACAACGGCCUUGGUGUUUUACUACAGAUAGGAACAAAAGAUGGGAGUACUGUGAGAUUCCUAAAUGUACACCAGUUGACGGUAAUUAUGGGAAUUGGUCAUUAAAAGAUAAGUGUAAUGUGAGUUGCGGCGAAGGUUUUGAAACAUGGCAACGAGAUUGUGACAAACCUAAGCCAAAGUUUGGCGGAAAAUAUUGCAGUGAAAUCGGAGAGUCAGUUGAAUACAGAUCCUGUUUGGCUGAACCCUGUCCAGUAAACGGUGGUUAUGGCAACUGGAGUGUUAGAAUUCCUUGCAAUGUUUCGUGCGGUGAAGGAGUGGAGAUAUGGCGACGUAAUUGUGAUAAUCCUAAACCCAAAUACGG